rnacentral:rRNA from 1 species
AUUGAACGCUGGCGGCAUGCUUUACACAUGCAAGUCGAACGGGGUGAAGGGGCAACUCUUCAUUCAGUGGCGAACGGGUGAGUAAUGCAUCGGAACGGUACCUCGUAGUGGGGGAUAACUCGGCGAAAGCCGUGCUAAUACCGCAUAUGCUCUACGGAGGAAAGCAGGGGACCUGAAAGGGCCUUGUGCUAUGGGAGCGGCCGAUGUCCGAUUAGCUAGUUGGGGGGUAAUGGCCUACCAAGGCGACGAUCGGUAGCUGGUCUGAGAGGAUGAUCAGCCACACUGGGACUGAGACACGGGCCCAGACUCCUACGGGAGGCAGCAGU